UAAAAUGAGAGUUUGAUCCUGGCUCAGGAUGAACGCUGGCGGCGUGCUUAACACAUGCAAGUCGAACGAAGCACAUUAUUUGAAUUCUUCGGGAGGAAGAUAAUGCGACUGAGUGGCGGACGGGUGAGUAACGCGUGGGUAACCUGCCAUGUACAGG
rfam:Lachnobacterium bovis strain S1b genome assembly, contig: IE07DRAFT_scaffold00024.24